CCUACGGGGAGCAUCAGUGGGGGAUAUUGCACAAUGGGGGGAACCCUGAUGCAGCGACGCCGCGUGUGGGAAGACGGUCCUCUGGAUUGUAAACCACUGUCCCCAGGGACGAAAAUGACGGUACCUGGGGAGGAAGCACCGGCUAACUACGUGCCAGCAGCCGCGGUAAUACGUAGGGAGCGAGCGUUGUCCGGAAUUACUGGGUGUAAAGGGAGCGUAGGCGGGGAUGCAAGUUGGGUGUAAAAACUACCGGCUCAACUGGUAGUCGCACUCAAAACUGCAGCUCUUGAGUGAAGUAGAGGCAGGCGGAAUUCCUAGUGUAGCGGUGAAAUGCGUAGAUAUUAGGAGGAACACCAGUGGCGAAGGCGGCCUGCUGGGCUUUUACUGACGCUGAGGCUCGAAAGUGUGGGGAGCAAACAGGAUUAGAUACCCCUGUAGUC
rnacentral:rRNA from 1 species